CGGACCUGGCGCGGCCCGUGAGGGGGCCGCGACGAGAGGCCAUUGUGGCGAGGGAGGCCUUGGGAGGUGGAGGAGCGAAGCCGCUACCGCGGGACCCAAGCGCCGAGCCUCAGGAGCAGACGAUCUUGAAAACUGUGCCAGGUCCUUGGGGGAAAAAAACUACAUGACACUGCAACAUGAGUGACAGUAAAUGUGAUAGUCAGUUUUACAGUGUUCAAGUCGCAGAUUCCACAUUCACUGUACUAAAACGGUACCAACAAUUGAAGCCCAUAGGAUCUGGGGCUCAGGGCAUUGUUUGUGCUGCAUUUGAUACGGUCCUUGGGAUAAAUGUUGCGGUAAAGAAGCUGAGUCGUCCUUUUCAGAACCAAACUCAUGCAAAAAGAGCUUACAGGGAGCUUGUUCUUUUAAAAUGUGUCAAUCACAAAAACAUAAUUAGUUUGUUAAAUGUAUUCACACCACAGAAGUCACUGGAAGAAUUUCAAGAUGUGUAUUUGGUUAUGGAACUGAUGGAUGCUAAUUUGUGCCAGGUUAUUCAUAUGGAGUUGGAUCAUGAAAGAAUGUCCUACCUUCUCUACCAGAUGUUGUGUGGUAUCAAACAUCUCCAUUCAGCUGGUAUCAUCCACAGAGAUUUGAAACCCAGCAAUAUAGUAGUAAAAUCAGAUUGUACACUCAAAAUCCUUGAUUUUGGACUGGCAAGAACAGCAUGUACUAAUUUUAUGAUGACUCCGUAUGUAGUAACACGGUAUUACAGAGCACCGGAAGUUAUCCUCGGCAUGGGAUACAAAGAGAAUGUUGAUAUCUGGUCAGUUGGGUGCAUCAUGGGAGAAUUGGUGAAAGGUUGUGUGAUAUUCCAAGGCACUGAUCAUAUUGAUCAAUGGAAUAAAGUUAUUGAACAGUUAGGAACACCAUCAGCAGAUUUUAUGAAGAAACUACAGCCUACUGUGAGGAAUUAUGUAGAAAACAGACCGAAAUAUCCGGGUAUCAAAUUUGAAGAGCUCUUCCCAGAUUGGAUAUUUCCAUCGGAGUCUGACCGUGACAAAUUAAAAACAAGUCAAGCUAGAGAUUUAUUAUCAAAAAUGUUGGUGGUAGACCCAGACAAACGAAUUUCUGUAGAUGAAGCCUUACGACAUCCAUAUAUCACGGUCUGGUAUGAUCCAGCUGAAGCGGAAGCACCUCCUCCUAAAAUCUAUGAUGCACAGCUGGAAGAAAGAGAACAUGCCAUUGAAGAAUGGAAAGAAUUAAUAUACAAAGAAGUAAUGGAUUGGGAAGAAAGAAGCAAGAAUGGUGUGGUAAAAGAUCAGCCCUCAGAUGCAGCAGUGAAUAGCAACACCAGUCCUUCCCAGUCAUCAUCGAUCAAUGACAUUUCAUCCAUGUCAACUGAGCAAACAUUGGCUUCAGAUACAGACAGCAGCCUUGAUGCCUUGACAGGACCCCUUGAAGGAUGCCGAUGAUCAGCCAGGAUUGCAGACUUAACAUUGGAAAAAAAAAACUCGUUUCCAUUGGCCUGAAUUGCUUUAGCGGCAACAGGCCCUGAGUGAGACCCGGGCCCCGUGGUGCUAAGCACUGUAAACAUAUCUGGCAAAUGUCGUGUAAAUGAAGAAGACAAACAAAGAGUGGGAGAGAGGAAAGCUGCUUAUCACCAUUUUACACAUUGUCUAAGCUCCUAAAUGACUUAGGCACUUAUGAAAAUGUAACCCCUGCUCACUGCCUGAGGUGGCAGCGGGAGUCGGGCAGAGCUGGGAACUGAAUGCAGUUCUGUUUGGGUCCCAGGCUAGAGCCUUAACCGCCAGAGCCCAUCCUUCUGCAUGGUAAAUGUGUCUGUAAUUUACUGCUUUGAAGUGCCCCUUGGUCCUCACAUUAGGUAACAGGGUAAAAAGGGCGCCGGACCAUUUGCCAGUGCCCUCGGAUACUUUGUUUCUCAUUGAACCUCCCCAUACGCUUCUCCUGCCCAGGUUAUUCCACGUUUAUGGAGCCGCUCAGAAUAAAUGACGCCCUCCUGCCCCUUUCGUCUUGUUGGUUUCCCUGCUCUGGUCUCGUGCCUGUGCAUUAAAUGCAGCUGUUUAGCACAAGAAGUAAAGGUCACUAAGGCAGGUGCCUGGGGCCAUGUCUGUAGAGGGAAAUUUCGCGGAUAGGUUAGUGCUGUUCAAAGCCCUGCCUUUUAUCUCAGCACAAAGGCUCCCCCAGGCCAUCUCAGGCCACGCAGCAAGAGAGGGAGGGGGAAACAGCUAACUCAAAUCCGCACGGCCUGGCCUGUCGUGUUAGCAAAUCCUCCUCUUCCUUGGCAGGGCUGGGUUAAGCAUAUCUCGAGCCGCCUGCAGCCCUAUACGUAGAGGGGCCCCAGUUGGGAUUGUUAAUUCACUCCCCCUCCCAGGGUUAUGACUAACACUGCAGGAGUGUGGGGGGGGUGUGUGUGGCAGAUGAAGCCUCUUGCCGAGGUAGGAGGAACUGCCCGUUGAGAUGCUUCAGAUGAAGCCCCGGCCCCCUAGAAACAGGCAGCCCGAGCAGCUGAGGAGGCAGGCCUUGGACAAAGAUCCCAGCAGCAAGGAGGAAAAAAGAACAGGGACAUGGGAAGAACAGGAUUCUAAACCUCCCCAGCACAUACACUCCUCUUUCCCCUCACCGCUUCCGCUGACAACGUUCCCCCAGGGGGGUUCUCAGGUCAGGCAGUUCCAACAGCUUGGCCUUAGACUCCUCCGGCACCAGGCUCAUCUCAGGGUGUUUGCAGGAGCAGUGAGCAUGAGGUACUGAGCUCUCUGCAUCCUGGUGGGGACCCGCUGCAGCCCAUCAUACCAGGGGGGAGGGGUUGGGCUGGCCUGUUGCUGAAAAAGGCUCUUGGCUAAAGUGGUAAUGGGUGGAAAGACUUUUAGCAUUACCGAUAAUAGGCACUUGGCGCUCUUGCUUCCAAUUUAAAACACGAGCUGCCCUUGGGAUUCGCUGCUCUUAGCGGGUUUUGCACUGUUUUGGAAGACCCAGGGCCUGAUCCAAAGCCCAGUGACAUCAAGGGAAAGACUCCCACUGAUUUCAAUGGACUUUUAAUCUGGGUCCAUGAGUGGAGUAUUGGUAUAAAUGUAAUUGAACAUGGGACUGUCGUUCAACAUGUCCAUGCUCUUGGCCUGCAGGGACAGCAUGUAUCGCCCCUCUCAAUCUUGUCCCAAUCAGCACUUUGCUUGUGUUUGUGGUUGCUUCUGAGAACAUUCUAGUGAAUGUGCUCCACUAGCGCGAUGUCUGGAAAACAAAUAUUUCCUGAAAGCCAGCUUCUAACCUCACAACUAGCCAACACCGCAGACUACAAAUCUGACACUCAGCAAGGUUCUCCCAAAUUCAUGAUGUUGUUCGAUAACCUGCACAAAUCCAUUAGUCAGAAGCCAGGCCAAGCAACUUGCACUGGCUAGUUACAUGGCCCCAGGUGCAAAUUUGAAGUAGCUGCAACAAUCUGUAGGUGAAUAUUUUUCUGACCAGGAAUUGCACAACUAAUUUCAAAGAAUGAAUCCAUUUCCAACUGGUGUGACCAAAAAGGGAGGCAAAAUUCGACUACCUUAUCAAUUAUAAAUUAUUUGCCCAACUCUCCUCACAAGCUAGUGAAGGACACGUGGUUAGGAGAAGAGCUCUGGUUGCCUAAUGUUUGUCCCACAAUGCACUAGUCAGGCACUAAGCCCCCAAAUUGCAUUCAGUACUAUGUGGAUUGCAAGCUCUUUGGGGCAGGAACUCUCUCUUUGUUCUGUUUGGAGCACAAUAGGGUCCUGGUCUAUGACACAUGCAAUGCACAUUCAUGGAUGGACUGCUGCACUUAUGCACCAUCAAUUGCAGGAUCAGGGCCUUAAAGGUGUGGUGUUGUUUUUUAAGCAUCUUUUUUAGUUGCAACCUCCUUAAA